rnacentral:rRNA from 1 species
GAUGAACGCUAGCGGCAGGCCUAAUACAUGCAAGUCGGACGGGAUUCAGGAGCUUGCUUCUGAUGAGAGUGGCGCACGGGUGCGUAACACGUAUGUAACCUACCUUUAUCAGGGGGAUAGCCUCUCGAAAGAGAGAUUAAGCCCGCAUAAAAUCACAGCACAGCAUUGUGUAAUGAUCAAAUAUUUAUAGGAUAAAGAUGGGCAUGCGGAACAUUAGCUAGAUGGCGGGGUAACGGCCCACCAUGGCGACGAUGUUUAGGGGAUCUGAGAGGAUGGCCCCCCACACUGGUACUGAGACACGGACCAGACUCCUACGGGAGGCAGCAGUAAGGAAUAUUGGUCAAUGGGCGGAAGCCUGAACCAGCCAUGCCGCGUGCAGGAAGACGGCCCUACGGGUUGUAAACUGCUUUUAUACGGGAAUAAACCCAGAUACGUGUAUCAGGCUGAAUGUACUGUAAGAAUAAGGAUCGGCUAACUCCGUG